AAGCCAUGUUGUAGACAUCUGGCACAUAACAUUUUAAAGCGCUCCCAAUAAUCAUAUAAUGAUUCACUAUCUUUUUGUUGAAUACCUACAAUGCUUCUCCUUAGUUU